GGUGCAACUCACCCUUGAGCUGGUUAGAGUCCAAGUAUAGCUCUUCAAGAGAAGCAGGGAUAUGGUAAGGCUUUUGCAGAUCUGUUAGAAGAUUAUAAGAGAGGUCCAAAUACUGAAGCUGUGUUCCCCAAAUCCAAAUAGGUAUCUCCCCACCAAUCCGAUUCUCUGAGAGAUCCAGUUGUUCCAUAUCCAAAUAUUUGAUGAAAUUAGGAAAAUGGGACAAAUUACAUGAAGCUAGUCUUAACACUUUUAGUUGGAGACUUCCAUAUGAAGUUGAAUUGAGGUUGCCAACAUCUACCGACAAUCUAUUGUAAGAUAGAUCAAGUCGGGUUAGAUUGGCAAGACUUAGAAACUUGUCC
rnacentral:lncRNA from 1 species